rnacentral:rRNA from 1 species
GUAAAUAAUUAAGGGCGUAUGGUGGAUGCCUAGGCUCUCAGAGGCGAAGAAGGACGUGAUAAGCUGCGAAAAGCUCCGUUUAGGUGCAAAUAACCUUUGAUGCGGAGAUCUCCGAAUGGGAUAACCCAAUAUGUUGAAGACAUAUUAUACCGUAAGGUAGGCAAACGCAGGGAACUGAAACAUCUAAGUACCUGCAGGAGAAGAAAACAAAAGUGAUUCCCCCAGUAGCGGCGAGCGACCGGGGAUAAGCCCAAACCGUUAUUGUUUCGGCAGUAGCGGGGUAGUAGGACUGCGACAUUGAUGAAAUAAAUGAAAUGGAACACCUUGGAAAAUGUGAUCACAGAGGGUGAUAAUCCCGUACAUGCAAGUUUAUGAAUCAUAGCAGUAUCCUGAGUAAGUCGGGACACGUGUAAUCCUGACCGAAUCCGCCGGGACCAUCCGGCAAGGCUAAAUACUCCUGAGAGACCGAUAGUGAACCAGUACCGUGAGGGAAAGGUGAAAAGCACUUCGAACAGAAGAGUGAAAUAGUCCCUGAACCCAUACGCCUACAAGCUGUCGGAGCCGCUUCGUGCGGUGACGGCGUGCCUUUUGCAUAAUGAGCCUACGAGUUACUCAUCACCAGCGAGGUUAAGUACUUCAGGUACGUAAGCCGAAGCGAAAGCGAGUCUGAAUAGGGCGUCAAGUUGGUGGUGGUAGACGCGAAACCUUAGUGAUCUACCCAUGGGCAGGGUGAAGGUUUGGUAACACAAACUGGAGGCCCGAACCGGUAAACGUUGAAAAGUUUUCGGAUGACCUGUGGGUAGGGGUGAAAGGCCAAUCAAACUGGGAAAUAGCUCGUACUCUCCGAAAUGCAUUUAGGUGCAGCCUCUGUUGUUUUGUUCUAGAGGUAGAGCUACUGAUUGGAUGCGAGGGCUUCACCGCCUAUCAAAUCCGGCCAAACUCCGAAUGCUAGAACAUGAAGACAGGGAGUGAGCCAGCGGGUGCUAAGGUCCGUUGACGAAAGAGGGAGAACUCAGACCAUCAGCUAAGGUCCCCAAUUAUAUGCUAAGUUGGAAUUAAAACGGGGUGGGACUGCUUAGACAGCUAGGAUGUUGGCUUGGAAGCAGCCAUUCAUUUAAAGAGUGCGUAACAGCUCACUAGUCGAGCGGUCCUGCAUGGAUAAUACGCGGGCAUAAGCAUAUAACCGAAGCUAUGGGAUUGUAGAUGAUACAAUCGGUAGGAGAGCAUUCCAUUCAGCGUAGAAGCAGUACCGUGAGGUAUUGUGGAGCGGAUGGAAAAGCAAAUGUAGGCAUAAGUAACGAUAAUGCGGGUGAGAACCCCGCACGCCGAAAGAUCAAGGAUUCCCCGGCAAUGUCAAUCAUCCGGGGGUAAGUCGGAUCCUAAGGGUAAGCCGAGUGGCGAUCCCGAUGGCAAACAGGUUAAUAUUCCUGUACUGAUCAUAACUGCGAUGCAGCGACGCAGAGGUGACACUGCUGCGUACUGACGGAAUAGUACGUUGAAACCCGUAUUCUUUGAUACCGGUAGUGAAGCACGCCGGUAGAGAUGAAAGGUGAUAGUACCGCAAUGCUUCGGUUGCGCGGAUAAUGCAGGUAAGCUGACUGCCAAGAAAACCUGCUAAGCUUCAGGUAAUGAUCAUCCGUACUGUAAACGGACACACGUGAUCAGGUAGAAAAUACUAAGGCGCUCGAGAGAUUCAUGGUUAAGGAACUAGGCAAAAUGGUCCUGUAACUUCGGGAUAAAGGACGCUCUUGUGAAAGAGCCGCAGAUAAUAGGCCCAGGCGACUGUUUACCAAAAACACAUGGCUAUGCUAAUUCGCAAGAAGAUGUAUAUGGCCUGACACCUGCCCGGUGCCGGAAGGUUAAGAGGAGAGCUCAGAGGUAACUCGAAGGUUUGAAUUGAAGCCCCGGUAAACGGCGGCCGUAACUAUAACGGUCCUAAGGUAGCGAAAUUCCUUGUCGGGU